ensembl:lncRNA
UACCUGUGCAGUGCCGCCACACUGUGCAGUUUUUUUCUCACAGAGAUAUGCUCUCUUCAAUGUUAAGAAAGAAAAAUAAUUUUUGAGUAUUUCAAUAUUUAAAAAAAAGAAGAAGAAAUUAGUGUUAAAUAUUUCAAUAGUACAAUGGGCUGUAGAACUCGAGACGUUUUCUGUAUCGACUCGACUUGCCUUGGAUCUGUUGACAUUUGUACUCAGACUUGGGCAUUGGUCUUGCUCAAUAUGGUCUUAGUCUUGAUUGAGAGUAAAAAUAAUUUGCCUUUUCUUUUUGCAUACACAAAUUUAGGCAAGUAGUAACUCCUUGUAGAAAACCAGCCUGAUCAUCAUAACACUCAUAUGAAGCCAAAUAGCUGAAGGAAAGGCCUGUGGAAAUUAAGGAUUUGAAUUGUCCUUGACCCCCACUUGGUCUUGACUCAAACUCCUUAUCUUGGCCUUCAAAAUGGCAGUCUUGAUUAUAGCUCUAUACUGUAUUUUAGUAGUCAUCAAUCUAGCUUCAGUAAACAUUAUCAGAUUUAUAAACACUCCAGUCUGCCAGGGGGCAGUGGAGAUAGUUACAGGUCAUAUGUGCUAUUAGUUAUGCAUAAAAAAGCCAUUAUUUCAUUUUUGUCUGGCAAACUGUAUAAAAAAUUAAGCAUGAUGCAAACCUAUAUGAAUAAAUCAGGAAUAUAAUAGCAACUAAGCUAAGCAUGGAAUAGUCCUCAAACAUCCAGCAAUACUCCAUACUGUCCAUAACCUGUUCCACAUUUUCACCAAGUAAAAUUGUGACUUUCUAUAAAUUUAUACAAAAUAUCUUUCAUCUUUGUGCUCAGACAAGAGACUUCUGUUCAUUUCUUAAAGGUCAGUUAUGAAUUUAUACAUGAAUGAUUUACAUUAAUAUCAUCUUUAAUAUUUAACGUACCUUAAAGGGAGGUAAAUUAUUUUAGUUGGAGAUUGGUGCAACAAUUAGACAUAACUUUUAAUAAUAAUUCAUUUGUCGGUUUAUCUCCCAGGACGGAGAUAUAAUCUCAGUCAUGUUCAAGUGAGUAGUGAACUUAUACAGAUGUGUGACUAACGCAGUAAAGCACCAAUCAGUCUGUUUUUCAGAUCGCAAAAUGGCAAAACAGGCAACUAAUACGACAAAAAAAGACAUUUAUUGUGAUUACAGGGAAAAAAAAUCUUUUAAAUUUUGUGUAUAUGGUAUGACAUUUCCUCUACAGAAAAGAUUUUGGUCAAACAGUAAUAAAUAAAUAAAUAACUCUCAAAUAUUUAUAUUAUUAUAAUACAUUUCAGUUAAAUAAAAACGAGCUAAUGAUCUAGCUAAUUUUAGGUCAUGUUUUAGCAAAAAUAUUUCAGGUAAUGUUCUAGCAGGAAUGUUUUAGGUAAUGUUCUAGCAGGAAACUUUAGGUAAUGUUCUAGCGGGACAUAAUUUUAGGUAAUGUUCUAGCAGGAAUGUUUUAGGUAAUGUUCCAGCAGGAAUGUUUUAGGUAAUGUUCUAGCAGGAAUGUUUUAGGUAAUGUUCCAGCAGGAAUAUUUUAAUUAAUGUUCUAGCAAGAAUAUUUUUAAGUAAUGUUCUAGCAAGAAUAUUUCAAGUAAUGUUCUAGCAGGAAACUUCAGGUAAUGUUCUAGCAGGAAACUUUAGGAAUUUUUUAAGGCAUUGUAGCAGACACCCUUGUCUGCCAUGGGCGACUUACCAUUAUCUCAUUUAUACAACUGAGCAGUUG